rnacentral:lncRNA from 1 species
CCUAUGUUCGUAAAUCGUUGACUAUAUUCAACAAACCACAAAGACAUUGGCACCUUGUAUCUACUAUUGGGUGCCUGAGCAGGAAUGGUAGGUACCGCCUUAAGCCUACUAAUUCGCGCUGAAUUAGGUCAGCCCAGAACCUUACUUGGCGACGACCAAAUUUAUAAUGUAAUUGUUACAGCCCAUGCCUUCGUAAUAAUCUUUUUUAUAGUAAUACCCAUUAUGAUUGGAGGUUUUGGCAAUUGGCUUGUACCAUUAAUAAUUGGAGCACCCGAUAUAGCCUUCCCACAUAUGAAUAAUAUAAGUUUCUGACUACUUCCACCAUCUUUCCUACUGCUAUUAGCAUCCUCAAUAGUAGAAGCUGGAGCAGGUACUGGGUGAACCGUAUAUCCACCUCUAGCUGGAAAUUUAGCUCAUGCAGGAGCCUCAGUUGAUCUAACAAUUUUCUCCCUACACCUUGCAGGAGUGUCAUCAAUUCUAGGGGCUAUUAAUUUUAUUACCACAAUUAUUAACAUAAAACCCCCUGCAAUGUCCCAAUACCAAACACCCCUAUUCGUCUGAUCAGUACUAAUCACAGCUGUGUUACUUCUAUUAUCCCUGCCAGUCUUAGCAGCUGGCAUUACUAUGCUACUAACAGACCGCAACCUAAAUACAACUUUCUUUGACCCAGCAGGUGGUGGAGACCCAAUCCUUUAUCAACAUCUAUUUUGAUUUUUCGGACACCCAGAAGUAUAUAUUCUCAUCUUGCCAGGAUUUGGAAUAAUCUCCCACAUAUUUACCGUAGGAAUAGACGUGGACACCCGAGCAUACUGUACAUCCGCUACAAUAAUUAUUGCUAUUCCAACUGGAGUAAAAGUAUUUAGCUGAUUAGCUACCCUUCACGGCGGCAAUAUCAAGUCACCUGCAAUACUAUGAGCCCUAGGCUUCAUUUUCCUAUUCACCAUAGCAGGUCUAACAGGCAUUGUACUAGCCAAUUCAUCCUUAGAUAUUGUACUGCACGAUACAUAUUAUGUAGUUGCACACUUCCAUUAUGUGUUAUCUAUAGGAGCAGUAUUUGCCAUUAUAGGAGGCUUCGUUCACUGAUUUCCCCUAUUCUCUGGAUACACACUCAACCAAGCAUGGGCAAAAGUCCACUUUGUAAUUAUAUUCGUAGGAGUAAAUAUAACCUUCUUCCCACAACAUUUCCUAGGGCUAUCCGGAAUACCUCGACGAUACUCUGAUUAUCCUGACGCAUAUACAGCAUGAAAUACUAUUUCCUCAAUAGGCUCAUUCAUCUCGCUAACAGCAGUAAUAUUAAUAAUCAUUAUUUGAGAAGCAUUCGCAUCAAAACGAGAAGUAUCUGCAGUUGAACUAACAAGCACAAACCUGGAAUGAUUACACGGAUGUCCUCCUCCUUAUCACACAUUUGAAGAACCAACAUAUAUUAACCUGAAAUAAGCAUGAGAAAGGAAGGAAUCGAACCCUCUUCCACUGGUUUCAAGCCAACGUCAUAGCCACUAUGUCUUUCUCG